UUCGCACAGAUUCGCUCCAUCCCCAACCUCCCCGGUGCCCUACCGCCUCCUCCCCUCAUGGCCGCCCCUCCCUAGCCGUCCGUCCUGCACGCAGACUCUCGCUGCAGACCCCGUCUGGUCUGCCCGCAGACCCGCCGCUCCCUCCUCGCCGUCCUUCAAUUCUGCCCCUGCCUCCCCUCUCUCUUGCAGCGGAGCAGAAGCGGAAGCGCCGGGAGAAGAUCAACCGACGAUUCAUUGAGCUAUCCACCGUCAUCCCCGGCCUCAACAAGAUGGACAAGGCGAUGAUCCUUUCAGACACCAUGAAGUACGUCAAGCAGUAGUAGGAAAAUCUCAAGGCACUCGAGGACGCGACCUCCAGAGCAUCCAGUCCGCGGUGCUCGUCAGGAAGUUGUGCACAGCCGCGCCAGAAGACGUCGGCGGCUGCUGUCCGUCAUCGUCCGCAGCGGGCGUAGCUGGAAGCACAACACCGACGACCAGGAAAGUGCUGCUGGAGGCGAGAAGGACAGCUGGAGUCGCCGCUGUCGCUUAUGGAGCUCCACACCAUUGCCCAGUUGUACAAUAGCAUGUGCAAUCUUCUCCAUUCAAGACUAAGUGCAAAUGGUGAACUCUUUGCCAAACAAGAAGAUAUGAGGAUCAGGCAUAUAGGCCCCCAUAAGGAACAUGGAGAGAUGAAUCUGGUCGAUUGUAGCCACAAGGUAAAUUUGCUACAUGGGAAGAUUCCUCAAUGGCAACAAUACACCAUGAUAGUGAUAAUGAUAUACAUCCUAUGCUGAACAAGAGCAAGACAGAAAAGAGUAAAAGAUUCUCCCCGAAGUAAUUACGGAUUGCUAUUUUCAAUUCUAAGUAAAAAAGAAUAUAAGGUUACAAUUCAUCACCU